GAUUAUGUUGAGGAAAGAGACUGGCGUGUGUCUCUCUGCGGCCUGGCCCGCGCGAGCCGGAGUCGGAAGCCGACGCGCCCUUGAGUGACCUGGUGGGCGGGCGAGGGACGGGCUCCCGAGACGGCGAAGGGUGCAAUGGAGGCUCUUGGCCGGCGCGUCCCCGCGGCGCCGCUGUCUCGGCGAUCGUGGGCCGCGCGAGGCUUCUCUCGAAAAGCCUUGGUGAGAGCCGAGCUGCCCCAGUGCGUGUUCACAAAGGGUCACCACACACGGAGCUGCCCCUCCCUGUCUCCCUAAACCCCAUCUUCGAGGCCGGGGGGCUUUUCUGCCCGGAUUCUGGGGUGUUUCUCCUCCUUUCCUCCCUCCCAGAUCUUCUAACGGUUGGAUUCCUUAAUCACAAAACAAGUCUUUGGCCCAAACCUGGGAUGUAAAAGCUGCAUACUUGUUCUGGUCUCAUCAAAAAGAUGAGCGUUGAAGUGACUAACCAUGUUUUCUAGCAGCAUUUUUGAAUAGAGCUUGUCCCACUACAUUUACUGUGUGACUGGGAGUACACCAACAGCUCUCUUCAAUCCAACAAAUCCCAAAUGGAAAGGAGAGAGGAAGUAACUGAGCCCCGGAAUUUCUUCUCUCGAAUUGAUCAGACCAGUUACUCCCUGUACCUGAAGAAGGAGUUACUGAGAUCAGCCAUGAAUAUUACUGUAAGGAAGUUUCAUGUGGAGUAUGAGAGCUUUCUCGCCCUCAGAGGUUCUAAGUAGGUAUUUGUUAAUGGAUUUUUUAAUACCUUGCUUUACAUCAGCAUGCUGUGAUUUUUUAAUACGUAAAUGAGACGUUCUAACGUUAUAGCUUGAGCCAGACCAUUAGUGUAUAUAAUGGUGUUAAUUAUCAUUUGCUAUGUAAGAAAUUACCUCCAAACAGCUUAAACCACAAACAUUUACUAUUUCACACCAUUUCUGAUAGUCCAGAAUCUGGGAGUGGUUCAGCUAGGUGAUUCCAAUUCAGCGUGUCUCAUGUGAUUGCAGUCACCUGAAGGCAGCUUGAGUGUGCGCUCAACAUGGCAGUUGGCUUACCCCCCAGAGCAAGUAAUCUGAGAAAGCGGUAGAAACCACAAUGUCUUUUAUUCUAGAAGUACCGUAUCUUGCUGUGUAUAAUGCACACGUUUUUACCCAAAUUUGUGAGGAAAAAAUAA